CUUACACCUCUCCACCACCACCGGCCUCUCCUCCCUACCAUUACAAGUCACCACCGCCUCCUUCUCCUUCUCCUCCAGUGCACUACUCACCACCUAAGCAUCCCUACCACCCUAAGUCACCACCACCUCCUGUGUACGCACCACCUAAGCAUCCCUACCACCCUAAGUCACCACCACCUCCUGUGUACCCACCACCUAAGCAUCCCUACCACCCCAAGUCACCACCACCAUCACCAAAGCCUUACCACUACAAAUCCCCACCACCACCUCCUGCUCCAGUGCACUCACCACCCCCACCUAAGGAGCCAUACCACUACAAGUCCCCACCACCACCACCCAAGAAGCCCUACCACUACAAAUCUCCCCCACCACCUCCUCCUCCAGUUCACUCACCACCACCACCCAAGGAGCCUUACCACUACAAAUCUCCACCACCACCACCCAAGAAACCUUACUAUUACAAGUCUCCUCCACCACCACCAAAGAAGCCUUACCACUACAUGUCUCCUCCCCCACCGGUGUACUCACCACCUCCACCAGUGCACUCACACCCACCACCAAAAAAGCCUUACCAUUACAAAUCUCCUCCCCCGCCAGAAUAUUCACCAGCUCCACCAGUGCACUCAACCCCACCACCAAAGAAGCCCUACCAUUACAAAUCCCCACCACCACCACCACCACACAAGAAGCCUUAUUACCCUGUUCACUCACCACCUCCACCUAAGAAGCCUUACCACUACAAAUCCCCACCACCACCUUCUCCUACUCCUCCUAAAUACUCACCACCUAAGCACCCCUACCACUACAAGUCUCCACCACCACCACCAAAGAAGCCUUACCAUUACAAGUCCCCACCACCUCCUUCUCCUACUCCCCCUAAAUACUCACCACCUAAGCACCCCUACCACUACAAGUCACCACCACCACCACCCCAAGAAGCCUUACCACUACAAGUCUCCACCACCACCACCUCCUCCAGUUCCCACACCAUCUCCACCCAAGAAACCUUACCACUACAAGUCUCCCCCACCACCCCCUCCAGUCUACAAGUCUCCUCCACCACCAGUUUACUCACCACCACCACCACCUAAGAAACCUUACAAGCCACCAACUCCUCCAGCAGUUCACCCACCACACGGUUACAUCUAUUCCUCACCCCCACCUCCUCACCACUACUAGAUAUUGAAAGUUUAAUUGCAUCAAGCUGGUAA
rnacentral:lncRNA from 1 species